GCUAACGUCCGUCGUGAAAAGGGAAACAACCCAGACCGUCAGCUAAGGUCCCAAAGUUAUGGUUAAGUGGGAAACGAUGUGGGAAGGCUUAGACAGCUAGGAGGUUGGCUUAGAAGCAGCCAUCCUUUAAAGAAAGCGUAAUAGCUCACUAGUCGAGUCGGCCUGCGCGGAAGAUGUAACGGGGCUCAAACCAUACACCGAAGCUACGGGUUCAACGUAAGUUGAGCGGUAGAGGAGCGUUCUGUAAGCCUGUGAAGGUGAGUUGAGAAGCUUGCUGGAGGUAUCAGAAGUGCGAAUGCUGACAUGAGUAACGACAAUGCGAGUGAAAAACUCGCACGCCGAAAGACCAAGGUUUCCUGCGCAACGUUAAUCGACGCAGGGUGAGUCGGCCCCUAAGGCGAGGCAGAAAUGCGUAGUCGAUGGGAAACGGGUUAAUAUUCCCGUACUUCUAAUUACUGCGAUGGAGGGACGGAGAAGGCUAGGCCAGCACGGCGUUGGUUGUCCGUGUUUAAGGUGGUAGGCUGGUUUCUUAGGUAAAUCCGGGAAAUCAAGGCCGAGAGCUGAUGACGAGUUGUCCUUUAGGACGAUGAAGUGGUUGAUGCCAUGCUUCCAGGAAAAGCUUCUAAGCUUCAGGUAAUUAGGAACCGUACCCCAAACCGACACAGGUGGUUAGGUAGAGAAUACCAAGGCGCUUGAGAGAACUCGGGUGAAGGAACUAGGCAAAAUGGCACCGUAACUUCGGGAGAAGGUGCGCCGGUGAGUGUGAAGGGUUUACCCCGUAAGCACAUGCCGGUCGAAGAUACCAGGCCGCUGCGACUGUUUAUUAAAAACACAGCACUCUGCAAACACGAAAGUGGACGUAUAGGGUGUGACGCCUGCCCGGUGCCGGAAGGUUAAUUGAUGGGGUUAGCUAACGCGAAGCUCUUGAUCGAAGCCCCGGUAAACGGCGGCCGUAACUAUAACGGUCCUAAGGUAGCGAAAUUCCUUGUCGGGUAAGUUCCGACCUGCACGAAUGGCGUAACGAUGGCGGCGCUGUCUCCACCCGAGACUCAGUGAAAUUGAAAUCGCUGUGAAGAUGCAGUGUAUCCGCGGCUAGACGGAAAGACCCCGUGAACCUUUACUAUAGCUUUGCACUGGACUUUGAGCUUGCUUGUGUAGGAUAGGUGGGAGGCUUUGAAGUGGGGACGCCAGUUCUCAUGGAGCCAUCCUUGAAAUACCACCCUGGCAACCUUGAGGUUCUAACUCUGGUCCGUUAUCCGGAUCGAGGACAGUGUAUGGUGGGUAGUUUGACUGGGGCGGUCUCCUCCUAAAGAGUAACGGAGGAGUACGAAGGUGCGCUCAGACCGGUCGGAAAUCGGUCGCAGAGUAUAAAGGCAAAAGCGCGCUUGACUGCGAGACAGACACGUCGAGCAGGUACGAAAGUAGGUCUUAGUGAUCCGGUGGUUCUGUAUGGAAGGGCCAUCGCUCAACGGAUAAAAGGUACUCCGGGGAUAACAGGCUGAUACCGCCCAAGAGUUCAUAUCGACGGCGGUGUUUGGCACCUCGAUGUCGGCUCAUCACAUCCUGGGGCUGAAGCCGGUCCCAAGGGUAUGGCUGUUCGCCAUUUAAAGUGGUACGCGAGCUGGGUUUAGAACGUCGUGAGACAGUUCGGUCCCUAUCUGCCGUGGACGUUUGAGAUUUGAGAGGGGCUGCUCCUAGUACGAGAGGACCGGAGUGGACGAACCUCUGGUGUUCCGGUUGUCACGCCAGUGGCAUUGCCGGGUAGCUAUGUUCGGGAAAGAUAACCGCUGAAAGCAUCUAAGCGGGAAACUUGCCUCAAGAUGAGAUCUCACUGGAACCUUGAGUUCCCUAAAGGGCCGUCGAAGACUACGACGUUGAUAGGCUGGGUGUGUAAGCGUUGUGAGGCGUUGAGCUAACCAGUACUAAUUGCCCGUGAGGCUUGACCAU
rnacentral:rRNA from 1 species